rnacentral:rRNA from 1 species
UGGGGAAUUUUGCACAAUGGGGGAAACCCUGAUGCAGCGACGCCGCGUGAUUUAGAAGGCCUUCGGGUUGUAAAAAUCUUUUCUAUGGGAAGAAAAUGACAGUACCAUAGGAAUAAGGACCGGCUAAUUACGUGCCAGCAGCCGCGGUAAUACGUAAGGUCCGAGCGUGGUCCGGAAUCAUUGGGCGUAAAGGGUACGUAGGCGGGUAAGAAAGUUAGAAGUGAAAUCCUAUAGCUCAACUAUAGUAAGCUUUUAAAACUGCUCAUCUUGAGGUAUGAGAGGGAAAGUGGAAUUCCUGGUGUGGCGGUGAAAUGCGCAGAUAUUAGGAGGACUACCGGUGGCGAGGGGGACUAUCUGGCCAUAACCUGACGCUGGGGUACGAAGGCGUGGGUAGCAAACAGA